UUUAUAGUUCGGUCUUCGUGAACCCCGCUCGGUCCAUCGAGGAAUAGAGGAAAGCUUCUCCGUCGCGAGACGGACAUGGCGUCCGCCUUCGAGUGGGAUCGGCUCCCCCACGACCUCCAACGCUCUAUCCUUCUCCGCCUUCCCAUCUCCACGCUCCUCCUCUGCAAGUCCCUCUCGCGAGCCUUCCUCGACACCAUCGGCUCCCCCACGUUCCUCGACGCCUACUCCUCCCUCCGCCGCGGGCGUCGCUCCCGCCACCGCGACGACCUGUUCCUCCUCCUCUUCGCCGACUGCAGUCGCCACGGCCUGGCCGCUGCUUACCUCCCCUCCCGCGCCUGCUGGCUUCCCCUCCCCCUCCCCCCUUUGCUUAACCACAUCCACGCCUCCGACGGCAGCCUCGUCGUCGCCGCCACCGGGAAGAACUCUGGCGAAGAUGUCGUCUGCGAUAUCUUUUCCCGUACCGUAAUCCCGAUCCUUCCCCGGAUGCCCCAUUCCUACAUCCUCUCUCUGAUUGACGACGAGGCCUCGUCCGAUUUCAGGAUCGUGGCCGUCGGCAGCCAGAAGCCCGUUGGGAACGCCCUUAAUGCCGUCUACGUUUCCUCCCAGGUUUACGAUUCCCGUUCUGGCCGAUGGCAGCCCAAGGGGCAACUGCCGGGGCACUACGCCAUGCUCGGCAACGCGGUUUUCCUGGAUGGCUUGUUGUUCGUUCUCGGCCGCCUCCCUGAUCAUCUACUCACAUUCGAUCUGGACAGCGGGGAAUGGAACGUCGUAGAUGUGGCUCUGCCGCCUCCUGUGUUUUGCUUGCAUUUGUUGGUAUUCGAGGGGAGGCUGUUCUUGGUUGGAGGUCUGGAAGAGGACGUGGUAAUUGCGAGAAUUGGAAUUUGGGAGCUCGAUUUAACUAAAUCGGAGAAGGAAUGGCGACUCUUCUGCUUUAUGCCCGAUGAUUAUUUUCAGGAAUUCAGCGUCAAUGAGCUUGUUCAUUUUCAGACCAUCGACCGAUUUGGGAUUGUUUGCUUUUGCAACACCAGAGAGUCUGUUGUUUUAGUGUGUGAUCUAUCAUCAAAAACAUGGUGGUGGCCGCCCGCAUUUGGGGUGAUUCCUAAGCGCAGAAGAUCUUGGCUCGGGCAUGCUUUGGAUCUACCUAUGGGAUUGCUGAAGUGAUUAAUAGAAGACCGUUGCUGCACGCGAAAUGUCAUCCAUCUCAGCACCUUCGAACUACUCGGGUGGCACCAUGGGGGAUAGAGCUUCGGUAUAGUGUCGAGCGUUGAACAAUCUUUACAAGUUCUCACGUUAACUUGAUAGGAACUUACCUUCGCCCCCGACACCCGGUUCUUUGGGAUCUGAGUAAGGUUGCAAAUUGGCUGACCCUUUGCGGAUCCAUAUCGUAAGGAUGCUUCACGACUUAGGCAACUCAAGCUAAGUCCGUGACUAUGCUGCAAGGGUGCCUCACGACUUAGGCAAUUCCAGCUAAGUCCGUGACACCAAGCUGUAAUUAUCAUAAAGAUUUCAGAAUUGUUUUUCUUUUGUAGCAAACCCUUUGAGUGGUAUGAGUUAAACCAGCUGCUAAGCUAUUCUACUUGUUGCCUGGCUGAGAUGUGUUUAAAAGAAUAUACUCAUUAAAGGUUGUAUAUUAUUGUUCUCAACUACAGCUUUUAUUUACAAGUAAAACUUCUCUUCGAGUUUCCAAGGUAGUAUUAAUAAUUUAAAAUUUCCAUUAUUUCCUAUGAAAAAUGACAUUUUUGGACUGCUCAUUGUUCUCUUUCUCUAUAUUGUUUCCCUGCUAUCUUCCUGAAGUUUAAAUUUAGUCUCUGCUGUUGUAGGAUCAAUGUAACAAGAAAUGUAGGAUCACAUUUAGUAUACAUAAAGGUUUCAUAAGUUGAACAUUCCAAGUCUUUGGAAAGUUUGACUUAUUUAUAUUUAGGUAAUUACAAGUUGUAUUUCCAAUUUGCCAUGAGAAGUGCCACAACUUCAUUGCAUCAACUUAGAUAAAUAAAAAACAUUAAAAAAUCUUCAAGAGCAAUAUUUGUACCUUGACAUUAAAGAGGUCAAGUGUUUCUCGUUUUAGCCUUACCAGCAGCCUUAAGUCUAAUGUUCUUGGAACAUGAAAUUGAACUUGUAACACUGCCUGCGAGAAUAUUUCCAUAUUGAAUUUUCAUGUAAUGCAGUUCUUCCUUUUUUAAUUUUGGGUCAGAACAUCUUCGAUGCAUUGCAGGAUAUCUAGGGGUUAAAGGUGUUCUAUUUGUUUUCCUCUUGUAUUUGUUAGUUUUCUUUCAAUAACUAUGCAUAAGUGCAACUAGAAUCAGAGCCUGGAAAUGUCAUGUGUUUAGAAAUAAAUUCCCAUGAGAUCAGUCCAUUCAGGUUUCCUACUUUGUUUCAUAACUAAAGCAUCAAAUUCACAUGCCAAGUAGAAUUUUUGCUAAAUAUCAUUUUAGAUAUGGCUUGAGCAGGUUAAUCCUUGUUGAUAUGCUUUUAAAGUGCUUAUUGUCUGAUCUGACAUUAUUCAUGGGAUCAUUCCCUAAUCUUUUUUUUUCGUUCUCAUCAUUUUAGUCUACUUCUUCUGCUCCAAAGCCAUGUUCCUCUUUGUACAUUACCUGGGUCCAUUCUCUCAUUCAUUAUUAAUAAAACCGUAUUUGCUUUUUGACUUAAUCGCUGCUUUCAUUAUUAUUUUAUUUUCAGCCCCAAAAGUUUAGCCAUCCGAUUUACAUGUUUUCAUGUCACAUAUAUUUCAGGGUACAUAUGGUCAGAAUUCAAGCAUUUUUCUUUCUGCCAUUGAGGUGUGCUGACAAUGCUCAAAGUUGGUGCAGAGGAACAGAGUGGAAUUUGUAGAGGGGAUGGUGAAAUGUUCACUUGCUGCAAUCACCAUAUGAAAAGCUACUUGUGGCUUGAUUUCCAGCAACUAAAUGGCAUUUAUUUCCACAAAACUGAGGAAUAUUCUUACAUAGCAAUGAACAAGUUUAGUGUGAUACUAAUUCAGAUCCAGAUUGAGUUUUAUAUAUGGUACCUACUCUCUGGGUUUAUUUUCAGA